GUGUGAGCGAACCCGGGAUGAGUGGACCUGCUUCGCGAUGAGGGCGUUAAGGACUGGCUGGUCCAGCGAAGCCCGUAGACUCCAUUUAUUUUUCAGGCUCCCUCUGUACGUGGGAAGACUGGAGGGAGAAGAAAGCCAGGUCCCGGGCCAGUUGGUCCUCAAAUUCCUUUCUUCGUCUGGCUCUGUUUUGCAGACGAAUGAACUCCACUGCCAGUUGGUGCAUUGCCAGCGUGGGACAGCGGAGAGAAACUGAAGUCUGAGAGGAAGUGGCUAGACAUGCUCUGCUCCAUCUCCCUGAGGGCGGUGCCUUGAUUGGCAGCAGUUGUGUUUCUUAAUGGCACUCCAGCUCCGGAAAGGUGACCUGGCCCCUGUGCUCUGACAGUGCUGCCUCUGCCUUUUGUCCCUUCAGGCUGAGAUGGGGGAACUAGUGGUUGGCCAUUGUUGCUAGCCUCUGGAUGGCCUGGCUGUCCUGUUGGGCCUCUUAGUUUUUCAUCUCCUGUGUAACCAUUCCCCCACCAUAAAGUCCUGCUGUUUUAAAAAUUCAGGUGGUUUUUCAUAUGCUAUCAUUUUUAUGUGGGACAUUAAAAAAAAACAAAUGAAUAAACAAAGAAAAAGCAGAAACAGACUCAUAAAUACAGAGAACCAGCUGAUGGUGGGCAAAGGGGAAGGGGGGGAUGGGUAAAACAGGUGAAGGGGAGUGGGAGAUAUAGGCUUCCAGUUAUGGAAUGAGUAAGGCAAGGGGCUAAAUGCACAGCAUAGUCCAUGGUACUAUAAUAUAGUCCAUGGUAUUGUAAUAGUAUUGUAUGGUAACUGACGGUAGCUACUACACUUGGGGUGAGCGUCGCAUAACAGAGAGAGUUGUUGAAUCACUAUGCUGUACACCCGAAACUGAUGAAACAUUGUGUGCCAACUCUAUUUCAAUUUAAAAAAAUAAAUAAAUAAUUCAGGUAGUUUUUGUUUUCCUGAUUGGAUCUUGACAUUUACCCAAAACACUUUAUACUUCAUUAUAAAGAUCUGUGCACUUGUGAUUAUAUAUUUAAUAAAUAUACUUCAUGCACUUGUGAGUGUAUAUUUAAUAAAUGUCUCCUUAGCCAAACUCUAUGUUUCAUGAGGGCAGAGACCAUGCCUGUCUCCUUCACCCCUGUAUUACAGUAAUUGCCAGGUGAGAGGUAUUUAAUACUUAUUUGUGGGAUGAAUGAAUGGAUGAAUAAGAUGAGUCGUAAAGUUUUUCUUUCCUCAAAGCUCCUGUCACCUCCUCACUUCUUAUUCUUGCCCUGAAAUAACAAGGUAAAAUAACAACAAAACAAGCUAGUUCUUCUGUACUUACUGACACAUCCUCAUGUCAUUCAGGAAAAGUCAACUCACCCACAAAAAUCAAGUAACAUUUGCCCAAAUGAUUAAAAUAAAAGUGGAACACUUUUAAGUACCAAAGAACAAAAGAAAAACUUUGUGAAACCAACUUGAGAAGCCGAUUGUGGGGAGUUAAACCUGAUGUGGCUUUAUAGAACCAGAGAAAACCAAGUGAGCACUAAACCAGCUUUAUUUUAACUGGAAACUUGUUCUUUUCUGUCAUCUUUUUCUGCCAAAUGGUUUGAAUUUGAGUGAAUCAUACCAAUGACUCAAAUGUUUUGGAAGGCAUUACUAUUUAUCAAAGUCAGUAGGAGAGAAGGGAGAAUUUAUUUUGAGAUUUCAGAAAUCUUAAAAGAUGUAUUAAUUUGUAAGCGUGCAAAGUCAUGUGUGCACUCUCUAGAAGUCACAAUUUGGACCUGCUCCCGUAGAUUUUUCAGAUCUGUUUUCAUGGAAGCAGAGCCAGCUGUGUAUCUUCCUGACUUUUAUGGACUACCUUCUAGCCUUCUUUCUUUUCCUUCUUUAUGAGGACAGCAAGAGGGCCACAUGGCAAGGGUGGGGAGGGGGAAGGAGGGAGUUAUGAGUUCAGUCUUUUGCUUGCCAUGGUUUUGAGAAAAUAAUUCAAUUCCUGCAAAAAGAAAGUGGAAGAAAGUGAUACUUCAAUACUUGAAGGAGGCCAAAAUCAUUUAGCCAGCACCAAAAAACAAUGAGCUGAAAAUGAUCUCUUUGUGUAACGAAAUUGCCCAAUAUUAAAUAUUUUUCUGGAAUCCAAAUUCUCUUAUGUAAUGUGUCUUAAAUGCUACUCUGGAGUGUUCUUAUGAUCAGCUUAAGGGACAGAGAACUUCCAGCUCUUCUAAUUUAAAUACAAAAUUAAAAUAGGUGCACUACAUAUAGCCCAGAGAAUAGCAUACCCACAGCAUGGCAUAUACAAACAGCCUUGGUAUAUAGCCACAGUGGAUCCAUUUAAAACAGGAGGCAUGAGGCAAUGGAAGAAUGGCAAAACAAAUAUUUAAUAUUUUGUUGUUUAAGUUCCAUUUUUAAAGAAUUUCCACUACAUUUUAUCAUAAAACUCAAACAGACAAACAUGAACGGGUUUAAAGAAAAUUUCAGUCAUAUAAUAAUUGCUGGCUCUGCUUUAACUUCCAAAGCAAUCAAACAACUUUUGAAUCUCCAGAGCACAGUAGGCAAUGGCAAUUCAACUUUUUUGGCUGGUAUAUAUAUACAACACAUAGAAGGGGUUUAACAAAUAAGUAUCUUUCAGAUUAAGACAUGGUAAAUAUGUUACAGGAAAAAUUCUCACCAGUGGGUUCAUUAAGCUACAUGACAGCAACAAUCGAAGAUGUGGGCAUCUUUGUGAUCCCUUUUAUCUUGAAGAUUUCCCACAGAGUGGUUGUAAGGAUUAGGUGGAAUAAGGGUACUGUACACUGAAAGAAGUGUACAGAACUGUUAUGAGAAAACAAAGAGGCACCAGUCCCCCUUGCCUCAGAACCAUGAGCGAGAAAAAGGAGCACAGGUAAGGACAGCCUACAGUGUGUUGGGGGCAGGGGUACAAACAACAUUUGGGUCCACCAAUUAGAGAGUCUGUGUGAAGAUGACAAAUAUAGAACUUCUGAAUUCAUCUACACUUGUCAUUUCCAACUUACUUAUGGCCUUUGGACAUGAAAGACAAUGAUGUGAGGAAAACAUAAAUAACUUAAAAACUUUACAUACUGAAAUGGUUUAGGAAGACAAAGGACACAGUUAAACAGUGUGAAGAUUUCAGUCUACUAUCAACACAGAUUUUGAGAGCUCUUUAUUAGCACCAAAUAUUUCCUAAGAUUUGGGGAAAGUAUAUUUCUGUUCUAUAGAUUAGUUUUUUUGAACAUUCAAUAGACCUAGCUUUUUUUUUUUUUUUUUUUUUGCACAUAUUCCCCUGUGGAAGGCCUGCAGCACCCUAAGCAUUAGAAAAGGGAAAACAUGAGCUGUUCCUCCUUCAAAAGCAAUAACACUUGCUUCUUUUAAGGACCUGCUUCUCUGAUCUUCCCAUAUUUAGUAAAGCAAGGAAUAACAGAGGAAGAGGCAUUAAUAACACUGGCAGGUUUAUGUAGCAAUGCCUAAAGGUAAAAAAGAAAGAAAUUUGGAUAUAGUGUGCAUUUUAGCCAGAUCAGAGGAAACUUUCCAGAUGUUUUUUCUGGACUAUUUAAGUAGUUUUGUUUUGUUUUGUUUUUUAAUGUACUUCUGACAGUAGUGAAUAUUAAUUUCCAUCAUAUGGGACUUGUGACGUGAUCUGUUUCUGAUCUGUGUGGCAGGCUUGGGUUAUUCUUGCAUCCUCAAAUGGCUUCAGAUCAUGGGGUAAACGUUUUUCUUGCCCCUCUCUUGAGCACAGUGAUGGAGGGAAAGAAGUGUGCACUGCUUUAUUUCAAUGAAAUACAUGCCUUCCAUUUCCUCUUGUUUGAAUAGAAACACUUGGAACCAUCAUGCAAGAGUAUCCAGGUGGGAUUCAGAACGGAAUUCAGAGGAGCUCACCUCCUAGCUCAGAGCCAAAUAACUCAGCAGUAUUGUUGUAGUACGCAUCUGAUGCACUUUGGAAUUUUAAUCAGCUUUCUAGCUGUUCUUGCCAAGCCCAUGAUGUGAGAUUACUGAUUCAAAUGCUUUGCAAACUGCAUUUGCUACACCAGAUGCCUUUCAAAAGAAGACUGAUUUUCCACUGACCAAGAGCUUCAGAUGGAAAGGCUUCUUCCCUCUUUCUCACAUAAAGGAAUAGACCAGAAGGAAUAAUUUGUCGGAGAGAGAGAGACAGCAGGAGAGGGAACACAAGCAGGGGGAGCUGGAGAGGGAGAAGCAGGCUUCCCAAAGAGCAGGCAGCCCAAUGCGAUCUCAGAACCCCAGGAUCACGACCCCAGCCGAAGGCCCUUAAGUUCAUCAAGUAAACCGUAAAAUCAGCAAAGCCAUCCAUUCUCUCUUUUGCUUCGAAUGGACCAUAUACAAGAAUCUGUUUAGGCUAUGGAAUACAGAACACUGAAGAAAACACUUUGCUCGUUUGCAAGGAUAUCCGUGAUCACAAUGGUGCAUGUGUGCGGUUGGCAGGGGCAGAGGGAGAGAGAGAAUUUUAAGCAGGCCCCACGCCCUGCACAGAGCCCCACGCGGGACUCCAUCUCAGGACCCUGAGAUCAUGACCUGAGCUGAAAUCAAGAGUUGGACGCUCAACCAACGGAGCCACCCAGGCGCCCCUGAAGAUGAAACUUAAAAUAUCAGAUUGGAGGCGGCUAAGGCU